AUGGUUUUGGGGAUAGAAAGCUCGUUUCUUGUUUUCCCCCAGCCUUGUUUCGAACAAAAGCCCUGCUUGUUCUGCACAGGCGUCUGCAAUGUCUUGUGCUCUGCUUAUCGUGCAGACAUCCAGACUGAGCCUUGCACAUGGGUGCGGACGGGUAUACACACUUCACUCCAACAGACAACAUUCACUCUGGUUUUUACACACCCAGAAAGCCCUGUUGCACAGAAGCACGCUGCAGGCAGGUGCCUGCUGGACCCACUCUGUGGGCAGUGGUUUGAAGCCAAGACUCAGGAGGCAGUGCCUAGAGAAGGAAGCGUUGCUGGCCUUGACGUGCAGGAGCAGCCACGAGCUGUACCGAGGGAAACCUCUGCGACAAGAGCAGAGGGGCUGCUCACUUCCCACCCCUCAACAUUACCUUUAAACACAGGGACGCUGGCAGAAGCCAGAAGCCAGAAUUACGCAGCAUCCAUGCACCUUAAAGGCUACAGAUUGCUGCUGGCCACCUUUGCAAGCAGGAUUUGUCUCCACGCCCCAGCACGGCUUGGGUGGGCAGCGCCCACGGCCAUGGGGCAGAGCCGCCUCCGCACUGCUCCAGGGGGCACGGACGCCGCGGGGUGGUUUAUGGCUCUCCUGCUCCCUUUGUCGCACAGAAGUGGCCUUUUACCUCCGGCUGUAGCAGCUCUUGGAUUUAGACUGAGAGGUCUGCGAGUUCAGCCCCCAGCGCUGGUGACUCACGCAGCGCUCCCGCGUUAUAAAUCCUGGAGAACUGCUCAACGCCGAGCUGCUCGUGCUGGCGAGGAGCGCGAGGCUGGAGAAGUCCUGGGAAACUGGGGAUGUGCUGCUGUGUGUCCCGUGCCCACCCGUGCUGUGGUGUCACCAGCUGAAGCCUUCCCUUCCCUCCCAGAGGAGCCAAGCCUCCCACAGCUACCUGCACGCUGCCCCACGGAUGCUGCCUCCCGCAAACCCACAGCGAUUACAACAGAAGUGUCACACGUGAAUGAGGGCAGCUGGGCACCACAGAGGAGUAUCAGAGCGAGGCAGAGGAGUGGGGAAAAAAGGGCAGGAAGAGAAACCUGGAAAUGA
rnacentral:lncRNA from 1 species